rnacentral:rRNA from 1 species
UAGGGAAUCUUCCACAAUGGGCGAAAGCCUGAUGGAGCAACGCCACGUGUGUGAUGAAGGGUUUCGGCUCGUAAACACUGUUGUAAGAGAAGAAUGACAUUGAGAGUAACUGUUCAAUGUGUGACGGUAUCUUACCAGAAAGGAACGGCUAAAUACGUGCCAC